UCUGGGAAAGGAGCCCAGCCCAGGAUUAACAGGUGUCCCCAGUCCCUGCUCAGGACAGACCACAGACAACUCACCAUGGACUUGGGGCUCAGCUGGGUUUUCCUUGUUGCUGUUUUAACAGGUGUCCAGUGUGAUGUGCAGCUGGUGGAGUCUGGGGGAGGCUUGGUGAAGCCUGGGGGGUCUCUGAGACUCUCCUGUGCAGCCUCUGGAUUCACCUUCAGUACCAACUGGAUAAGCUGGGUCCGCCAGGCUCCAGGGAAGGGGCUGGAGUGGGUCUCAGCAAUUAGUAGUGGUAGUAGCACAUACUAUGCCAACUCUGUGAAGGGCCGAUUCACCAUCUCCAGAGACAAUGGCAAGAACGAGCUCUACCUGCAAAUGAACAGCCUGAGAGCUGAAGACACUGCCGUCUAUUACUGUCCAAGAGGGCCCUGCUCAGCAGGAUGGAUCCAGAUCUGA